GUCUUUUUGAUUUUAAUUUAAAGUUUAACCUGCCCAUUGAAAAUUUUUAAAAGGYUGCGGUAUUUUGACUGUACAAAGGUAGCAUAAUCAUUAGUUUUUUAAUUGAAAACUUGUAUGAAUGGUUGAAUGAGAAAUUAACUUUUUUAAAAAAAUAAUUGAAUUUUACUUUUUAAUUAAAAGGUUAAAAUAAAUUUAAAAGACGAGAAGACCCUAUAGAGUUUUAUAAUUUAUAUUUAAUAUUUAAAAAGAUUAAUUAAAAUUUUAUAAAAGAAAAUAUUUUGUUGGGGUGAUAAUAAAAUUUAAAUAACUUUUAUUUUUUUUUACAUUAAUAUAUGAAUUUAUGAUCCAUUAUUGAUGAUUAGAAAUUUAAAUUACCUUAGGGAUAACAGCGUAAUUUUUUUUUAAAGUUCAUAUUAAUAAAAAAUUUUGCGACCUCGAUGUUGGAUUAAGAUUUAAUUUUAGGUGCAGCAGUUUAAAUUUUAAGUCUGUUCGACUUUUAAAUUCUU
rnacentral:rRNA from 1 species